AUGAUCGUCAUUAACCCUGCUAAAAAUAUAUCGUUUAACAGUUUGUCUAAUAACAGGUCUUACUUCCAGCAAGGAAAUAAAAGCUGACAAGAUGGACAGUAAUCUAAAUAAAGACACACUUUGUGAGAAGAUAUCAUCUGAAUUGCAAAAAAGUGGUGUUCAAAGCAAUAAGAUGCUCAGUCUGUGUAAAAUGACACAUAGUUGUUAUAUUUGUGAUAAAACAUUUACUCGACAAAGUUCUCUGAAAACACAUAUGACAAUACAUACUGGCGAGAAGAAUCAUGUAUGUAAAAUUUGUGAUAAAGCAUUUUCUCGAAAAAAUUCUCUGAAAACACAUAUGACAAAACAUACUGGCGAGAAGAAUCAUAUAUGUAACAUAUGUGAUAAAGCAUUUUCACAACGAAUUAAUUUGGUCAGACAUAUGACAAUACAUACUGGAGAGAAAAUACAUGAAUGUAAAAUAUGUGAUAAAACAUUUUCUCUUCAAGGUAAUUUGAUCACACAUAUGCGAAUACACACUGGUGAGAAGAAUCAUAAGUGUGAAAUAUGUGACAAAACAUUUUCUCAACGAAGUUCUUUGAUCAGGCAUAUGACAAUACACUAUGAUAGGAAGAAUCAUAUAUGUAAAAUAUGUGACAAAACUUUUUUUCAUCAAAGUAAUUUGUUCACGCAUAUGACAAUACAUACUGGCGAGAAAAAACAUGAAUGUAAAAUAUGUGAUAAAUCAUUUGUUCAUCAAAGUAAUUUGAUCAGGCAUUUGAAAAUACACAAUGACGAGAAGAAUCAUUUAUGUGACGAAUGUGGUAAAGCAUUUUCUCAACGAAAUAAUUUGAUCAGGCAUAUGACAAUACAUACUGGUGAGAAUACACACUGUUGAGAAGAAACGGCCUCUGUGGUCGAGGGGUUAUAGUCCAUGACUUCUAAUCAAGUUACCUCUCUGGCGUGGAUUCGAUCCCGGGGAGAUGCUUUGGAUGUUUAGCAUGGAGGAAGGUAGUCUAGUACUGGUGUAACUGAUCUCCAUGAACAAAGGUAAGGAAACUACCUGCCUAUUUGACUGAAAUACUGUUGGGAAAAGGCGUAAAAUGAAACAAACAAACAAAAGUUGAGAAGAAUCAAAGAUGUGACAUGUGAUAAAACAUUUCCUAAUCGAAUCAAUUUGAUCACACAUAUCAAAAUACACACUGGCAAGAAGAACCAUAUAAUUUAUGUUAAAUAUGUGACAAAACUUUUUCUUAUCGAAGUAAUUUGUUCGGGCAUAUGACAAAACAUACUGGCGGGAAAAAUCAUGAAUGUAAAAUAUGUGAUAAAACAUUUUCUCAUCGAAGUAAAUUUGAUCACACAUAUGACAGUACACACCGGCAAGAAGAAUCAUUAAUGUAAAAUAUGUGAGAAAGCAUUUUUCUCAACGACAAUAUCUUAUCAAACAUACGACAACAUAUACUAGUAAGAACAAUCAUAAAUGUAACAUUAUGUGGUAAAACAUUUUCUCAACAAAGUAAUUUGAUCAAGCAUACGACACAAGCACACAUGAAAAUACACAUUGGCGAGAAGGAUCAUCUAUAAAGAAUUUUCUCAAUGAGUUCAUCUUAUCAGCCAUAUGACAAUACACACUGGCGAGAUAAAAAAUCAUAAUUGUAAGUGACCCUUAAUGAUGACGAGAGGGCUUGUUCCCAGUUAACUUUGUAACAGCAGACCUGUCAGUGGAACCAGAAGAACCAAAACGAAAGGUAGAGUUUAGUGAAGAAGUUCAAGUAAAGAUGAUAAAGGCACCAGAACAGCUGGAAAUUGAUGAGUCAAAGAUAGAUGAAAUGUGGCAGCAGAUACAGAAUACUGACCUCACUGGAGAGACCUGACCGGAUACCAUGGAAAUGUUA